AUGGCAACACAGCCCUGCACAUGGCAGCUGCCCUGCCAGGGCACAAGAACCAGAAGGAAAUGGUGCAGCUGCUCCUGGCCCACGGGGCAGACCCGAGCAUCAGGAACCUGGACAACGACCAGCCCAUCCACAUGGCCCCCUCUGGGAGAGCUGGGGACCAGGUCAGGCAUUUGCUGAAGAAAGGGAAAGUUGCAUCUGCCUUCCUUUCCUGCCGCCGAAAUGCCAGAUCCUAGGCUGCCUGAAAUUCAUGGAAUGGCUUCACCUUCAGCUUGCUGAUGGCCUGAGGCCUCUCAUACAGACUGUGAGGGUGGUUCACCAACAAAUCCCUGCUCCUACAGGCUUAAACCAGGGUGGGAAGACAGUGUUUCUCAACCUGGAGAUGAGAUUUCAAAUGGCUGAAUACUUAAUUUUGCUACCAAAGAA